rnacentral:miRNA from 1 species
GGGAUCUUGUUAAAAUGCAAAAUCUGAUUCAGGAGAUCUGGGCUUGGCCCGAGGUUCUGUAUUUUUAACAAGUUC